AUUGAACGCUGGCGGCAUGCUUUACACAUGCAAGUCGAACGGUAACAGGGUGCUUGCACCGCUGACGAGUGGCGAACGGGUGAGUAAUGCGUCGGAACGUGCCAAGUAGUGGGGGAUAACGCAGCGAAAGUUGUGCUAAUACCGCAUACGUACUGAGGUAGAAAGUGGGGGACCUUCGGGCCUCACGCUAUUCGAGCGGCCGACGUCUGAUUAGCUAGUAGGUGAGGUAAAGGCUCACCUAGGCGACGAUCAGUAGCGGGUCUGAGAGGAUGAUCCGACACACUGGGACUGAGACACGGCCCAGACUCCUACGGGAGGCAGCAGUGGGGAAUUUUGGACAAUGGGCGAAAGCCUGAUCCAGCCAUGCCGCGUGUCUGAAGAAGGCCUUCGGGUUGUAAAGGACUUUUGUCAGGGAGGAAAUCCCUAGUGCUAAUAACACUGGGGGAUGACAGUACCUGAAGAAUAAGCACCGGCUAACUACGUGCCAGCCGCCGCGGUAA
rnacentral:rRNA from 1 species